rnacentral:lncRNA from 1 species
UCGUUACAUACUUCGGGUGUGUAUAUGACAGUAUUCUGCGAAAGGUUAUUUAUGCUGCGUUUCUCUCAAGCUUUACCCUGGCCUAGACUACACCCGUGAGUGGGGAAGGGUUUUUCAUUAUUACGGGUAUCGUUGGUGACUCGGUUCUGUUGGUGACUCGAUUCUGAUGGUGACUUUGUGUUCAGACAGUGUUCAGUAAACCUUAAGUGGGAUUUAUGUUCUGAUUUUGACUGAAGCUUUGACCUAGUAUCAGAGAUUGCACAACCAACCAGCCGUGUCUGCAUCAUGUGCAUCAUAGC